rnacentral:rRNA from 1 species
CCUACGGGUGGCAGCAGUGAGGAAUAUUGGUCAAUGGGCGCGAGCCUGAACCAGCCAAGUAGCGUGAAGGAUGACUGCCCUACGUGUUGUAAACUUCUUUUAUAGAGGAAUACAUUGAGGCACGUGUGCCUUUUUGUAUGUACUUUAUGAAUAAGGAUGCGCUAACUCUGUGCCAGCAGCCGCGGGAAUACGGAGGAGUCGAGCGUUAUCCGGAUUUAUGGGGUGUAAAGGGAGUGUAGAUGGGUUGUAAAGUCAGUUGUGAAAGUUUGCGGCUCAACCGUAAAAUUGCAAUUGAUACUGGCAGUCUUGAAUACAGUUGAGGUAGGCGGAAUUCGUGGUGUAGCGGUGAAAUGCUUAGAUAUCACGAAGAACAUCGAUUGCGAAGGCAGCUGACUAAACUGCCACUGACAUUGAGGCUCGAAAGUGAGGGUAUCAAACAGGAUUAGAUACCCCUGUAGUC